GAUGAACGCUGACAGAAUGCUUAACACAUGCAAGUCUUUGGCGAAUCUGUGCUUGCACAGGCUAGCCAAGGCGGACGGGUGAGUAACGCGUAAAGAACUUGCCCUGCAGACAGGGAUAACAGACGGAAACGACUGAUAACACCUGAUACAGUUGCCGGCACGCAUGUGCCCGGCAAUGAAAAGAGAUGCUGCAGGAGAGCUUUGCGUCCUAUUAGCUUGUUGGUGAGGUAACGGCUCACCAAGGCGAUGAUAGGUAGCCGGCCUGAGAGGGUGAACGGCCACAAGGGGACUGAGAUACGGCCCUUACUCCUACGGGAGGCAGCAGUGGGGAAUAUUGGACAAUGGGGGCAACCCUGAUCCAGCAAUUCUGUGUGCACGAAGAAGGUUUUCGGAUUGUAAAGUGCUUUCAGCAGGGAAGAAGAAAGUGACGGACCUGCAGAAGAGCCCG
rnacentral:rRNA from 1 species